UUUCCCGAUCGUUAGUCCGAAACGGGCUAACCGGCAACCGCCCACAUAUAUAGAUUUCAUUCAUCUUCCGUUUUGGAAAAUCUAAUCGCGCGUCAUUCCAGGACCGAGGGAGUACAGAGUAAUUGUAUUUGUUUCCUCAUCUUUACUUCAUGUGAUUUUACUAAUCUCUAUCAAAUUCACGUUCUAAGUUGGAACCACCUUGAAGAGCAGCUGCAAUUCGUCAAUUUUCUCUCUGGGAUCAAUCACGGAAGAAUUGAAUCGGCCAUCGGUGUUGAAUGGCUGGGAUCUUUGAAUAUUUCGUGGUUUGUGGGAUCGGGCCCGAGAUUCGGACUUUAGAUGGCAACAAGGGAUUUCAUGGAUUCGGUUACAUGUAUCUACCGUCUCUUCUCGACCAGUAUCCGCCCUCCAACCAUUCUCUCUAUCCUCCUCCACCACCUCAGCUCCCAACAUGUGUUCUGCCAGCUGGGGUCGAGUUUUUUUCGUCGGGCUUCGAUUCCAGUGAUGCCUACACCUUUCCGCGCAGUUAUCCGAUUGUUUUGACGGAGGGCGAUGGGUCAAAAAUUUAUGUCAGUUGCAUUGCUUUUAGGGACCCUGUCAGCGAGGAUAUUGCCGAAGCUUACCGCAUUCCACCGAAUUCGUUUGCUGAUAAAUGUAUCUGUAUUGUUUCGCGUUCGUCCAGCUUCCGCGUUCUUAAAGAUGGGCUGGAGGAAUUAUUUGCUUUGUGCUUCUCCAGCAGUGGAAGUAGCAAGCCGCUGUGGGAUGUCAUAGCAUACAUGGUCUCCAAUGUACCUCUGCCUACUCCUGGGAAGGAACGGAUUUUGUUUGGUAUUGAGAAUUGUCUUCUUUCUGUUCAGGCUCCACCAAAGGAUGGGCUUCCCCACGCUGAUAUUUCAUUUCAGCCACUUAUGCAGUGCUUGGAUUUGGAAAAUGUAAUCAAACUUUUCACUGCGGUCUUGCUGGAAAGGAGGAUUCUUCUUCGAUCGAACAAGUAUUCACUUUUAACUCUGGUAUCAGAAGCCAUUUGUCAUCUAAUAUAUCCAUUUAGGUGGCAGCAUGUCUACAUUCCGUUACUCUUUUUCAGUGGAGUAGACUAUAUUGACGCUCCCACACCAUAUAUGAUGGGUCUUCAUUCAGGUGUUGAUACAUCCUAUCUGGCAAUGGAUGGUGUCGUUGUAGUGGACCUUGAGUAUAAUUGUAUCACCACUACAGAGGAAAUACCACCUAUUCCGGAACCAGAGCUUGGAUCUUUGCGUGGUGAGCUAAUGAAGUUAUUAUGUCCAAAUGUUGUCAGCAUAGAUCAAAUGAGGUCUGAUUUGCGUAGCUCAUCUGAGCAAUACCCUAGAGGUAGCAGCAAGCCUUGGGGAGAAGACCAUGACCUUCAGCUUAGGAUGAUAUUUUUAAAAUUCUUUGCAUCACUUUUAAGUGGCUAUCGCAAUUUUAUAGAAACCAGUGCGUCUGAUGUCUUCAAUACACAAGCAUUCUUGAAGAAGCGUUCACGAUCAACUAGUCAACCAACAGACCCCAUGAUAACUCAGUUCAUGGAGUCCCAUGGCUUCUUAGACUAUCUAGAGAGGUGCAUAGGUUCUGAUGAAAGUAAUAAUAAUCUUCUCGACAAGUUACAAGAUGCAAUUGGGAGGGGUCAAAAUCCUCUUUCAAUUCUUCCAUCCUUGUUGGCUGAACCUGAGAUCAUAACAAUUUCUGACCCUGAUAUGGCAACAUCAGGUUCUGGUGCCAAGUACACUUACGAUAGAUUUCCUCCAAACAUCAGAACUGAGGAGCAGGAAGAAAAGAGGAAGAAAAUUCUAGCAGAAGCAAGUGGAGCUUUUGAAUACUCAGGAAGGCAUAAUCCUAAUUCACCUUCUGUGCUAAUGGGCAAGGACUUGAAAGCAGAAAGCCUCAGUCCUAUGGAGAGGGCUGCGGAAAGAGAACGCAUGGUUUUGGACAUAAAAGUCAAACUACAGGGUCUCUGGCUACGUCUUCUGAAACUGAGUGCUACUGAUGAUCCUCCUCUUUCUUCUUUUGAAUAUGGCACUAUUCUUGCUUUGAUUGAAUCUGAUGCAGAGGGAAUUGGUGGUAGUGGAUUUGUUGAGUGUAUUAGAGAGCACAUAAAUACAGGAUGGAUUUGUCAGUUAACCGAUGAGCAAUUUAUUGCUGUGAAAGAAUUGCUAAAAACAGCAAUCAGUCGUGCGACUUCACGAAAUGAUGUAUUGACAAUUAGGGAUGCUCUUGAAGUGUCAGCUGAAAUGUUCAAGAAAGACCCUAAUAAUGUUCCUGAUUACAUCCAACGCCAUCUUAUUUCUCUAUCUAUAUGGGAGGAGCUAAGGUUUUGGGAAGGUUAUUUUGAUUAUUUGAUGGAACGGUCUUCAAAUAAAUCCGCCAAUUAUGCAUCUCUGGUUUCUGCACAGCUAAUUGUUAUGGCAUCGCAUAUGGCUGGGCUUGGGCUUCCUGACACUGAUGCUUGGUACAUGAUUGAGACAAUUGCAGAGAAAAACAGCAUUGGAUACAAGCAACUCAUAAGGCUCCGAGGAUUCUUAUCCCAUAUCCAGCAGCUGCGGAUUAGUUAUUGGGGGCUCUCUUCCUUCAAGUCCCAAUCCGUAUCUGCUCAUGCAUUGCCAUCUCCACGUCCCAGUGAUGGAACUGAUCAGAAUCAGCAGCCUGCUGAGGCUUCUGUUGUUGGAAGAAGCUGGGUUCAGAGCAUGUUUAGCAGGGAUACAUCUGCAAGGAUUAACUCUUUGGGUCGUAGUGGUCGUUGGUCUUCUGAUGCCACGAGUGAGAGUGGUACUCUUCAAAGACAAGAUUUAUCCCCAGCUGGCCAGAAAAAAGUUCAGAGCAAUAUCCGUGUUCUUAGGGGUCAUAGUGGAGCUGUGACAGCACUUCAUUGUGUUACGAAAAGAGAGGUGUGGGACUUGGUGGGAGACCGUGAGGAUGCAGGUUUCUUCAUUAGUGGAAGCACAGACUGCUUGGUCAAGAUAUGGGAUCCAAGCCUUCGUGGUUCUGAACUGCGAGCAACUUUGAAAGGUCACACAGGACCUGUUCGUUCUAUUAAUUCUGAUCGAGGAAAAGUAGUUUCUGGAUCUGAUGAUCAGUCCGUUAUCGUAUGGGAUAAACAAACAACCCAGCUUCUAGAAGAGCUGAAAGGCCACGAUGCUCAGGUCAGUUGUGUGCGUAUGCUAUCAGGAGAACGUGUCCUUACUGCUGCGCAUGAUGGAACUGUGAAGAUGUGGGAUGUUAGAACUGAUACUUGUGUAGCUACUGUUGGUCGUUGCUCUAGUGCAGUUCUAUGCAUGGAAUAUGAUGACUCCACAGGAAUACUGGCUGCUGGUGGUAGAGAUACAGUAGCAAAUAUCUGGGACAUCCGUGCUGGCAGGCAAAUGCACAAGCUUUUAGGUCAUACAAAAUGGAUACGCUCAAUUAGAAUGGUAGGAGACACCAUAGUUACUGGUAGUGAUGAUUGGACCGCUAGGUUGUGGUCUGUUUCUCGAGGAACAUGUGAUGCUGUUCUAGCAUGCCAUGCUGGCCCAAUAUUGGCCGUUGAGUAUUCCACACUGGAUAAAGGAAUAAUAACUGGUUCGACUGAUGGGCUUCUCCGUUUCUGGGAAAAUGAGGAUGGAGGUAUUAGAUGUGUGAAAAAUGUCACUAUUCACAGUGCUGCCAUAUUGUCCAUCAGUGCUGGGGAACAUUGGUUAGGAAUUGGUGCGGCAGAUAACUCAAUGUCCCUCUUUCAUCGGCCUCAAGAGAGACUUGGUGGCUUCACUAACACGGGCGCAAAAAUGGCUGGGUGGCAACUGUACAGAACCCCACAAAAGACUGCAGCCAUGGUACGAUGCGUGUCUUCAGACCUCGAAAGGAAAAGAAUAUGCACUGGUGGCCGUAAUGGCCUUCUGAGGCUCUGGGAAGCAACAAUCAACAUAUGAGGCAAUAUUGUCUUUGCGAGUUCAAAUGCUGUGCUAUUUUAUCGUGUAAAUUUCCUUCUUUUGCAUUCUUUAAACAACUUACAGAUACCUUAGCGUGGUUUAUGCCAUUUGUUUGGUCCACUGCUUCUUUUUAGUUUGCUUUAUCAAUGCUGCGGGGAAAUGUGGAUCGAAGAGUCGGCUAACUUCAGCUAAAAAGUGGACUUGGUUGAUGUAGUUCUUCUAGAGCCCUUGUGUUCAUUCGAGAAGUGAGGACUCAUCGUAAGACAGUGAAGCCUACUCUCAUGGAAAUCGAGUUGGACCUUAACUGCCAAUGCCAGAUGUGGAAAUGUGUCAUCAAUUUUUAUUUACCUCAUCUAAGUUUUGGAUCAAAUUUUUAUAUAUAUAUUGUUGGUUAAAAUUUUAUUUGUUUUCGCUCUUAUUCGCAUUGGAAUGUAGCAUAAGAAUAUAAGAGAUGCUGAAUUUAAAGAUGUAAGCAUCUGGUUUGACAUUGACUA